CCUUUGGAUGCGCACCGCUUGGCUGAUUACGGUGUGCUCCGCUCGUUUUGUUUCGUGCCGUCCCACAGUUUCUGCUUUUCUUGUCCCGCAAGCUCCAAUCUUUUGUGUGCUCUCGCUCUUCUGCGGUCGGUCGAACGAGAGGAACAUCCGAGUCGUGAGCGAACGAUGGAAGCGGUGACGCCUCAGCCCGUUUGCGCCAAGGAAGCGCUCGCUCUUCUCAACUGCACCGUCGAAACUCCCUUCGACCGUGACAAGUGCCUCCGUUUGUUGGACGCCCUAAGGAGCUGCGUCCUCGAAAAGAAAGUGAAGAAGUUCUCAGUAGCGGAACAGAGCCAUGCAGCUGUAGUUCCAAAGAGCAAGGAGAAACCAUGAAUGCCUUAAACACGGUCAUAAAUGAAAAUUGUUGUCCCUAUAUUUGGACACUAGUUCUGUUGUUAACUAUUGAGUUUUGAUGGAUGGGUUAGGUUGGAGAGAAUGAAGCCAUCAGAAGGCAAAACAGAGGGGUUCUUUUUUUUUUUUUGCAUUGUUAUAAUGACUUGUGACUUCUGAUUUCUGACCUAUUUUAAUUUCAUCCAUUUAGAUUUGAAUCAAGGACUAAUAUCACUCGAUCACUCAAAACUGAAGCUGCAGUUGGCUAUAGAUACCUGUGGACGUGUCAUGUAAUGCAGGAGCUAACAUCACUCGAUCUUUCUUGCUGCUUUUCCUCUCCAUUUGUCAUUUGAUUGUAUGUUAUCCAUCAAGUUUAAGUCUUACCGAUUUCGAAAGCGAGCAAGAAGUCGAGAAAGGGAGCGACGAGGGAGAAGGUAGAGCGAUUUCGAGGAGACAGAGGCCUCGGCGAUCCAAGUGCUUCUGCUGAGCAGGUAGACCAUAUUACUCCUCUCUGGUUUCUCGCUCCUCACGUCUCUCUCGUUUGCUGCUCCUCACUCCUUUCACGUUUCUGGAUUAUAUCGAUUCUAGGGUUUCAUCGCCCACUUGUCAUUCGUUGUUCUUUGCGUUGGAUUCUGAAGUUUUCUUCCGCCUCGUGGAUAGUUCUAGUGUUUUUCUUCUUUUUGGUUCCAUUUCGUUGCUUUUUCGACGGAUUUUUGGUGCUACAUGUUCGUGCGUCUUUUCGUGCUUUUCCACUAAAUCAUUGAGGUUCUUUCUAUUUCGGGUUUCGUUGUCUGCGUGUUCCUUCCUUUAAUGUUUAUCGAUCUGAUUCCUAGGGAUUUUCCUUUACGAGGAUAUGUUCUAGGGUUUGUCCGGAAUUUUCCAUAGAAUCCUUGGGGUUUUUCCUAUUCUAGGGUCUCGUCGACUUUUCUUUUUCGUUACUGUUCAGUUAGCUUCAUAAGGAUUUUUGAAGGAUAUGUUGUAGGUUCUUGUCAUGUUUUUCUUUCGGAUUUUUAUGAUUCCAAUGAUUAUUUUUCGUUGUCUUCUUUACUGGAUCCUUAAACUUCUUCCUCCCGAAUGUGUCUUUAGGGUUUCGUUGGAAACUUUUACAUUCUCUCUAUGGCUAUUUUGUUAUUGAUUUAUCAGUUUUCUCAUUGAUUGAUUGCUGCGGAAAACCAUCCAUGGGUGAUUCUGGUCUGGUCUCUGAUUCCGGGAGGUUGGAUGGCCGAAAGAGAAACUGCUUUGGGGUCUAGCUACAUGCUUGUACUGACGAGUUUCAGAUCCUGAAUCCAAUUGGAGAAGGUUGUCACGAGUUUGUCUUUAGAACCAAAGAUAAGACAAGUGGAGAAAUUGUGACUAUGAAGACAAGAAGUUUAUUAAUCGAGUUGCUUGGGGAAACGACAACCAUUGGAAGAGGGAGAUCAACUAUCUGAUGUCACCCAUCUAUCAUAGAGUUUUAUGGAUGUUGCAAUGAAUUUUUUUGGUUAUAGAAUAGGUGGAAAAUGACCUCAUAAGUUUUAUGGAGAAGGGGGCAAUCAUUUUUCGAGAGUGAAAUCAAAGUUUUGAUGAUUCAGCUCUUGCGAGAUGUGAAUGAUAUUCAGAUAUUUAGAUAUAUAAACAUCAAACAUCCUACUGAACGAUUAUGGAAAGGUCAUGAUAUAUGAUGAUUUUGAAAUGUCUCAUGUUUCAAGUUUUGUCCUGUACAUCAUCAGUGGAUAUUUAUAAAACAUCAAACGUGUUAGUGGAAGCUAAAAAUUAUUUAUCCACUAUUAAUGUGUUC